AUCCUACGGGGGGCAGCAGUGGGGAAUAUUGCACAAUGGGGGGAACCCUGAUGCAGCGACGCCGCGUGAGUGAAGAAGUAUUUUGGUAUGUAAAGCUUUAUCAGCAGGGAAGAAAAUGACGGUACCUGACUAAGAAGCCCCGGCUAACUACGUGCCAGCAGCCGCGGUAAUACGUAGGGGGCAAGCGUUAUCCGGAUUUACUGGGUGUAAAGGGAGCGUAGACGGCAGAGCAAGUCUGAAGUGAAAGACCGCGGCCCAACUGCGGGACUGCUUUGGAAACUGCCCGGC
rnacentral:rRNA from 1 species